rnacentral:rRNA from 1 species
UACGUAGGGGGCAAGCGUUGUCCGGAAUCAUUGGGCGUAAAGAGCGCGUAGGCGGCCCGAUAAGUCCGCUGUGAAAGUCAAGGGCUCAACCCUUGAAUGCCGGUGGAUACUGUCGGGCUAGAGUCCGGAAGAGGCGAGCGGAAUUCCUGGUGUAGCGGUGAAAUGCGCAGAUAUCAGGAGGAACACCAAUGGCGAAGGCAGCUCGCUGGGACGGUACUGACGCUGAGGCGCGAAAGCGUGGGGAGCAAACAGG